rnacentral:lncRNA from 1 species
ACAAAUCGACUAGAUAAACAACCAUAAAGCGAGAUUUGGGUGGAGAGAAACAGUCCUAGAUUUUAGAUCUAGAUGGAUUUAAAACCUCUCAUUAAGAGGGAAGAAAAAAAACUAUAAAAAUAAAAGUGAAAAAAAAAAUCGCCCAGCAUAGAGAACGAAGCAAAUGUUCACAAGCAUGAUUAAACAACAGAAAAAGAAAGUACCUUUUAUGUGGAGACGAAAACUUUUAAAAUCCAAGAUGGAAGGUGGACGAAUGCAUCAAUAUUUUACUUGUUAGUGUUGUGGUCCCAAGUUUUACAAUUUUCUCCUUAAAAUGCGUGGUCCAGAGCUUUAAGAUUUCUUCUUUCUCCUCGCUUCAACCAUUUGUGAAUAGUUAGGGUUUACUAUUUUGGGGCUGUAUAAAUAAUGGGUGAGAUUAGGGGUUUACAACUUGGAAAUUGAAGAUAAGAAGAUGUUUUAUGUGGGGGAAAGGGAAUUUUACGGACAAAUAUCGUGAAAUUUCAGAAUAAUUGAGGGAGACA